GCAGGGAAUCUUGCACAAUGGGCGAAAGCCUGAUGCAGCAACGCCGCGUGUGGGAUGAAUGCCUUCGGGUUGUAAACCACUUUCAGGAGGGAAGAAAUUGACGGUACCUCCAAAAGAAGCCCCGGCCAACUACGUGCCAGCAGCCGCGGUAAUACGUAGGGGGCAAGCGUUAUCCGGAAUCAUUGGGCGUAAAGAGCUCGUAGGCGGUUCAGCAAGUCGGCUGUGAAAGUCCAAGGCUUAACCUUGGAAAUGCAGUCGAUACUGCUGUGACUAGAGUCUGGUAGAGGAGAAUGGAAUUCCCGGUGUAGCGGUGGAAUGCGCAGAUAUCGGGAGGAACACCAGUAGCGAAGGCGAGUCUCUGGACAAUUCCUGACACUGAGGCACGAAAGCUGGGGGAGCAAACAGGAUUAGAAACCCUAGUAGUCC
rnacentral:rRNA from 1 species